CAUACGACUAACUGACUGAUACUCCACCAUUAUCCCUCGUCAGUAAAUUAUUCCGCGCUUAACCACCUAUAUCUAACUGCCACCGGCAAUUAUGCUCCAUCGUUUCCAGACCAGACCGGAUCCCAUCAGCAUUUCCUCCAAUCCCCCCCUGUAACCACCUCCAGCGUCCCCUGCAUACACUCGCUACAUCUCACCGCCUCGGUGAAUCCAUUGCCGGAGCUAGCACACGCCUAGGCAAGCAAUGGCCAGACACCGGUUGGUGCGCCACCGUGCGAGUCUCGCGCUGCUCCUCAUCGGGCUCCUCCUGAGCUCCUCCUCGACGGCGGCGCGUGCCAUUGAAACGACGAGGACGAUGGCACGGGCGACGAAGGAGAGCUACAGCUACCCCCGUAGCCGGAAGCUGCUGGUGACCGCGCCGCGCGUGUCGCCGGACACGCGACCGUCGGGGUCGCAGCAGGAGAUGGACGUCGGCGGCUGGCGGCGGGCAACGCCGUUCAGGAGUGCCGGGGCUAGCCUCGGCCGCCGUGUGCCUGGGUCCCACGCGAACCCGUCUCACAACUAAGCACUCAGCAGUGCAGAGGUGCCGGCGGCGGACCCCGGAACGGCGAGCGUCCACGACGGCGAGGUCGACCGAUGAUCCACCCGGCCGGCGCUGGAGAGGAGCUGGAAGCAGGGGCGAAUGUAGCUAGCUGACUAGGUCUGUCUGUGCAUGGUAUGUCUGUACAAUUUAGUCCACCUGACACAAUUUUGGCUUGGAAUGAUUAGGAGCUGACUGAAGCACACUGUUCCCUAUUCAGAUAGAGAUCGAGUUCUUUGCUUCUGUGUCUGUAGUUAUGAUGUUGCCCUGAGUUCUUCAGUUCAGCUAGCGUACGUGUGUCUAUGUUGGCACAGUUGCAACUUGCAAUCAGCCUGAAGUGCUUUUCGCUUU